UACGUAGGCAGCAAGCGUUGUUCGGAGUUACUGGGCGUAAAGGGUGUGUAGGCGGUUGCUUAAGUUUGGUGUGAAAUCUCCCGGCUCAACUGGGAGGGUGCGCCGAAUACUGAAUGACUAGAGUGCGGGAGAGGAGAGUGGAAUUCCUGGUGUAGCGGUGAAAUGCGUAGAUAUCAGGAGGAACACCGGUGGUGUAGACGGCUCUCUGGACCGUAACUGACGCUGAGGCACGAAAGCGUGGGUAGCAAACAGG
rnacentral:rRNA from 1 species